GGCUCCGAGAGCUUCCUGCCUCCCCUUCCCGGGAGCGGCCUCACGCACGCUCGCAGGCGUCUUCCUCCCUCCUAACAACAACCACUUCAAAUACUAUUGGCUGAUUCUGACCCCACCCCUUCGGCUGCCGCCGUGCGGACAGGCUGACUUAAGUGCCAUUCACUGCCCUUAGUCCUAAACUCUUAAGGAAAGGAGAACAGGAGAAAAGAACAACACAACUUCAGAAGCCAGAAAAUAGAUGGAUGAGUGGUGACUGAUUUAGUAGAUCCAAGAAAGCUGAGCAGCAACUGGCUUAUACUGGAAAUACCUUAAAAGACUCAGAAACUUGCAAAACCAGGGAUCACUGGGCCUGAGGGGAGAGGAGAAGGCGAAGAUGCAGCCACCAUCCCAUCAAGUUCCAUAUGGCUUCCCAGAGCGAGUACAAGAGUUAAGUGCAUGGGUCAACUUGCCCCAGCUGCAAAAUGUCCAGAUAUUAAUCUCUAUUUCUAGCUGGGGCAUUGGUCUUCUGCACUCACACUAG
rnacentral:lncRNA from 1 species